AGGAUGAACGCUAGCGAUAGGCCUAACACAUGCAAGUCGAGGGGCAGCACAUGAGUAGCAAUACGAUGGUGGCGACCGGCGCACGGGUGAGUAACACGUAUGCAACCUACCUCUAACAGGGGGAUAACCCGUUGAAAGACGGACUAAUACCCCAUAAUACAGGGGCUCCGCAUGGAGAUAUUUGUUAAAGAUUUUAUCGGUUAGAGAUGGGCAUGCGUUCCAUUAGCUAGUUGGUGAGGUAACGGCUCACCAAGGCGACGAUGGAUAGGGGAACUGAGAGGUUUAUCCCCCACACUGGAACUGAGACACGGUCCAGACUCCUACGGGAGGCAGCAGUGAGGAAUAUUGGUCAAUGGAGGCAACUCUGAACCAGCCAAGUCGCGUGAAGGAUGAAGGUCUUAUGGAUUGUAAACUUCUUUUGCAGGGGAAUAAAUAGUGGUACGUGUACCGUUUUGCAUGUACCCUGCGAAUAAGGAUCGGCUAACUCCGUG
rnacentral:rRNA from 1 species